GUACUUCCAAAGUACAUAUACUAAAAUUGGAAUGAUACAGAGAAGAUUAGCAUGGCCCCUGCGCAAGGAUGGCACGCGCUAUUAGAGAGAUCAAUAAAAGGCUG